rnacentral:lncRNA from 1 species
UUCCACUUCCUGAGUGAUCCCACCAUGGUCAAACUGUCAACUUUGGCGCCGCCCAAUUAAUGUAGUCAAUUUUUUAUUUUUCAAAAAGCAAUAAAGCGGUGUCGAUUCUUGAGCAUUAAAAAGCUUAUCAAACUCAGAUCAGAUGAGAUUUGAUCGACGAGAAAUGGAGAAGAAGGUAUCAAUAGUAUUGAGCGUGAUUUUGCUCAUAAUCUCAGCAAAUAUGGUGGCCGUAAAUUCCGACGCCUCCGACUGCAACGACGCCUGUACCACUGCCUGCGUUUUUCCUGACCGUAAAUAAACUCUCUUUUCUUCAAUUUUCAGUUCUUCCAUUUUAUUUUUCUUCUGGUGUCGUGAGAAAACUUGAUUUGAAUUAAAUAAUGAUCCUCUAUAAUUUCUGCUUGUUUCUUUUCGUUUUUCGAUUGUGCAGCUCGACUUUCGGCUCGAUGCAAUCGAAAGUGCGACAUAAGGUGCAGUCCAGGUAUUUUUCGCUCGAUCUAUACUGAUUUUUACGGAUUCUGUAGUCCAAGUUCGUAGGCUAUGUUGUAUUUGUGGCUUAGUAAUACCAUUAUAACACUUAAUUGUUAUGGUAAUUAGCAUUUCGCGUAGUAUGAUUUGUUAUGGUUUGAUUUGAAGAAUUUAUUCACGAAUCUCGAAUUAGGGAAGGGUUGAUGCAGAGCACUAGUUUUCUAUUAACUCAUGUGGGACAGAAGUAGGAUUUUCCGAAGAAUUAGGUAAAAUUAGUGAGCUGACGAGGUAGUAUCGCCUGGGUUCAUUGCUUAGAUCGACUAAUUUGAAAAUGUAAGUGAAAAUGAGGUGCAGAAAUAUGAGUACACCACACACCACUCUGUUUAUAUUCACCUUGUCAUGUUUUCUUAUUUCUUUUCCCCUCGAUCAUACUAAUAAGCCUCCAAAAUCUUACGAAUGGUUGUAUGGAAGAAAGAAACAGCAGGAGUGAAUACAAGUAUAUUCUUCUUGUUAUGGUUUAUGACAAGGAUCUAAUGAUAUUCCAAGGUGUUCUUUUGAGUGUUAUUUGAAGGGUAAAUGUCACUAUUUGGCCCAUUUUUUGAAGAUGUCCCACUCUAAGUCUAAUUACAAAACAAUACUCAUCGUUGCAUUUUUUUUCUUGUUUGUGGCCCGAAAAAAAAAUCGACCACUAAAAUUGAUGUGUUCCGGUAGACAUCCACAUACACGCACACACAUGCACGGACCCAUAUCUCUCUCUUCUCCCACAACUAUGCCGCCGGCAGCACUCAGCAGCCGCCGCCACCGGUGUCUCUCUCUUGCCUAUGCUUCUCCUUCUCCCUCACUCCUAAACGUGCGCAUAACAACACACACAACACAGACGCCACCACACUCUUCUUCCUAAAUCCACUGCCACCGCUUCCUUCAAAUUGUCGGCUGAACUGCAGCGGCACGGCCGCCGCCGCCACCUUGAUCCCCCUCGUCUCCUGCUCUCCAACCCACCUCCUUUGUCUCUCUCAAAAAUUGAACACAGAAAAUAAAAUUCCCCACUUCUAUCUUCUUCUACAAAAUAGCAGCGCUAAUCGAGCCCUGUCGCCGCCUGCUGCUCUCUCCUCCGUCAAUCUCCUCCUUGCCUUUCACCUUGAUUACCUCCUCUCUCAAACACACGCAUGAUAACAAUCAAACAUUGAGCCCUAGCUCGGAGCAGCGAGUCUAGCCACAACAACAACAUAUCUUCACUUAAUUUUUAAAUUUUAUUUCUUGUAUAUCGUUUUUAUUUUCUGAAUGUGUGAUUAUAUUAGGUGGAUUUUUUAAAAAUUUCCAACAAAACUUCAAACUCGCCUAAAAUGGUCCACGUGUAUUGACAAUGUGGAUGUCCGCCGGAACACAUCAACAUUCAGUCACUGGAUUUUCUUGCGGGCCAUAAACAAGAAAAGAAAUGCAAUGAUGGAUAUUGUUUUGUAAUUAGCCUAAGGGUGGAACAUUUUCGAAAAACCCUCAAACGAUGAGCCAAAGAGUGAUAUUUACUUUAUUUGAAUAGCUAACCAAAGUUUGAUCAGACAUAGUCAAGAAUCUGUGUUGAUCCUAUGUUUCCUAUCUCAGGGAACAAGUAUGAGUAGUUUCAUACCUAUUUAUGCUAAUUAACAAGUAAUACAAGUGAAAAUGAUAUGUACAAAAUUAGACAACUUGGAACAUAAGAAGAUAGUUGUUCUGUCUCACGGAAGGCCCCAUAAUGGUGUUGUUUGUGAAGUUUAAGAGCUCUGUGUAGAAUCUGUUGUUCUUGAGUGCUGCUUUAUUUGAGAUAUCUGCAACUGCAAUCUUGUGGAGGAGAAGAACCACUUGAACUAAAAAUAUCCUUCGGCUAGCAAUGUAAACACAAAUGAGGCAUUUGGUUUGAGUGAUAAAGGCAUGACUGAUUAAAAAAAUACAAUUUAAUCAAGUGUUUGGUUUGCAUGAUUAGGCCGUGAUGCGUAACUCAGCUCGCACUCUAAUCAUCCCAUUGUGCGAGUAUUUAUCACGCUAAAGUUAGGUGAAUUAUUUAAUCACAAUCUUAUUUAUCUCAUCCUCCAUUCUAAAGCUUUCAAUCUAAUCAAUAAUCUUAUCUCAUCCACCAAACUAAACGCCCUUAGCUGCUUGAUUAAUUUGUUAUAGCUUCAACAGUUAUUCUCAAGAUCACACAUCAAAAGAACCACUUUCUUAAUAUACAAUUAGUUUCAGUUCAUCUCAUUUUCGAGCUUUUUUUUUUUUUGGGUUUGGUUUUAAAUCUCGAGUUCUGUUUAUGAGUGCCUGGACUCCUAUCUUUGAUGGCCAUGUUUUAGUCCAACACACAAUGUGACAGGGUUGGUUUUCGGUCUUUUUUGGUUAAUUGAUUUUGGUAGCUCUUUAGAUGUAGAUUUGAUGUGCUUAUUUUGUUGUUCAGAAACUUAUAUCUCCAAUCUUGCAAUUCAUUUACAUUUACAUCCAUAUUGAAGUCCUGCCAAACAACCUAUUGAUACUCAGUAUUGUUUAAUGAUUUGGUUUUUUAAAAAUUUAUUUCAACACUGGCAGGACUCCAAGCGAAUGAGCAUCUGAAUUGAUGUUUAGGAAUUCUGAAGAACCGUUAACUUGGUCUAAGAAGAGGGACGAGAUUCCAGUUUAUAAUAUACUAUUACUGAAUAAUUAAAAUAAAUCACCUGGUGUUUUCUGAGAUGAAACCCAGGAAAUCUGUUGUUACUUUUCUCUACUGUACUGGAUGUGCGAGAUUGUAUAUAUAUAUAUAUAUAUAUAUGUAUUUUUAUUUAUGAAAUAUAUUAGGCUCUAAAUACACAAACUUUGGAUUUGUCUGAAAUUUCACACGAAAUUAAACACCCACUAAUAGGGGUGUAAACGAACCAAGCCGCUCGCAAACUAUUCGGAGCUCGGCUCGAAAAAAGCUCGUUCGAAAUUCGUUCGUUUUCUUAACGAGCCGAACUCGAGCCCGAAUCCGAGCUCGAUAAAAUUAUCGAGCCGAACUCGAGCCUGUACUGUUCGGCUCGUGAGCUCGCAAUAUGUUCGGCUCGAACCUGUUCGCGAGCUUAUUCGCGAAUAGGUUGCGAAUAGGCUGCGAACAUUUCGGAAUAGGCUCGGAACCUAUUCGCGAAUAGGCUCGCGAAUAGGUUCAUUAAAUUAUUAAUUUUAUAUAUUUCAUUUAUUGAAUUUAUUCUGAAUAAUUAUAAUAGUUAAAAAAAAAAUAUUCAGUAACUUUACAAAGUAUCUAUUUAUUAAAAAUAAAUUAAAAAUUAUAACUCAUCAUUAAUUAGAAAUAUAAUUAUAAUAAUAUUAAUUAGUUAUAUAUACUUAUAUUUAUAAUUAUUUUAUUAAUUCUAAACGAAGAUAACUUACAUUGUUAUUUUCUAAUUAUAAUUUAAUAUUUAUUAUAUAAGCUAAAUACAUCUUAAUUAGUCAAUUAACUUUUAAAAUACUUAAAUAUAACUGUUUAUAGUUUGAAAUUUGUUAUAUAACAUAAUUUUUUGUACAAGAUAUAUAAUUAGACAUCUUUAGUAUAAUACUAAUCAUAUUUUAUAUAGAUAUCUUUAGGCUUUAGUAUAAUACAUUAAUACUUAUUAUUAUAAGCACAUAACUUAUAAUAUUUUUUUGAGAGAGAAAAUAUAACUUAUAAGUUAUAACUAAUCAUAGAAGUUAUAAUUUGAAAUUUAUUAAUUAUAUAAGAUAUAUAUAUAUAUAUAUAUAUAUAUAUAUAUAUAAUACAUACAACUAAUUUAUUAAGAAUGCUUAUAUAACUUAUAAAGAUGUCUUUAAUACAUUACUAUUUAUUAACAUAAGAUACUUAUAUUUUGUUAUUAAUACAUACAUAUAUAUAUAUAUAUAUAUCUAUAUUAAUAUAAGAUACUUAUAUAACUUAUAAAUAAACAAGUAACUAGUAUUAUUAGAUGUCAGACAUAGGGCUGUAUACGAACCGAGCCGAGCCGAGCCGAAUACCUUCAGGCUCGGGCUCGGCUCGCGAAAUUUUGGGUAGGCUCGAGUUCGGCUCGAGCUCGAGGUCGAGCUUUAAAAUGAGCUCGAGCUCGGCUCGACUGAAUAAUAUUAAGUUCGAGCUCGAUUCGUUUAUCUCGAGCUCGAACUCGCCUCGAUUUUGGAGCUCGAUUUCAAAUUCGAAUUCGAGCUCGAUUUCGAAUUUAAGCUCGAGUUCGAGCUCGGCUCAAAUUUGCUCGAUUUUGGAGCUCGAUUUCAAAUUCGAAUUCAAGCUCGAUUUCGAAUUCAGGCUCGAGUUCGAGUUCGGCUCGUGUAUUAAUAAUAAAUAAAAUCUGCUAUGUAGUCUUUCCAAAAAUUUCAAUCCACAAUGCAAAAUCACAAAAUAAAUCCACAAAAAGUAUCCAAAUUACACUAUUUAUAAAACAUGGCAUUUGAUCUUGAAGCUCCUUGCAAAUCUCAUCCUACAAAUACCAAAAAAAUUCAAAUUACAUAAAAAAAAUCACAAAUGAGUAAUACUAAAAGUUAGACAAAUUCAAAAGAAAUAACUUUACCAAUAUUUUCUUCACAAAACUCUCAAGACAUUGUAUAUUCUUUGAUGUCUUAAGUGUCAUCAUGUAGAAAGACAUAUAGAAAAGUUUAGAUAUAAGAAUAUACAUGAAUAAAUGUAAGAAAAAACAUACAAAAUAAAAAAUAAUACCUUCUUUUUCCCCUUAAUCCCAUAAGUAGCUCGCAACCAAUCCCUAACACAAAGUAACAUUUGCACCGUAUCUACUGCUAGAGAGGCUCGAUGUGGUUCUAUAACUCGACCACCCGCACUAAAUGCAGACUCUAAAGCAACAGUAGUGAUCGAAAUCUACAACACGUCACAAGCCAUCUUUGAUAAUAUUCUAAACUUUUUACUAUUCAAUUUCCACCACAUAAUGACAUCAAAAUGUCCAGGUUCUUUCCAUUUGAUGACUUUUUCUUCAAAAUAGGUAUCCAAAACAGAUUUCAAAUCUUCAACAUCAUCAACAGUUUGAAGAUAUCCAGCAUAAUUACUUGGAUUAGAUCCUAUCAAAACACUAGCAUUGCCCCUUUCACUAGCAAUAACAUCAUUUUCACUACUGCUACUCCUUCAAUACUACUACCAGCUCUAUAUUCCUCAACAUACUCAGCAUAGAGAUUAUUUAAAGUCUCACGAACUGUGACUUUAAAUAAUACUCCGUCAGCUUCAGAAAAGAAAUUGCUAGCACAAUGCUCAAUAUAUUUCAUCUUAUUUCUAGGAUCUAACGCAGCUGCUAUUGAAAUCAUUAUGUUGCAAGAUCCCCAAUACUUAUCAAAUUUCUUUUUCAUUUUGUCUUUCAUUUGUUGCAAGAAAAAGUCACCUGAACCUUCAACGUUAGCUCCCAAUUUCAAUUUGAUUUCAAUAAGUUGAGGUAAGAAAAGAUUGGACGUUGGAUACUCAGAACCUAUAAUAAAAGUGAAUUAUAUAGGCUAAGUAUUCACAUACGCUAAAUUGUGAAUAGAAGUCAUUCAUAACUAUUCACAUCAGUAACAUGAAGAAAUAAAGAAGAAACUAUGUACAGAAAAUGCUAAGUUAAAUUAAAAAUUAAAUAAACUAGCCUCAAACCACUUUAUAAAACAAAUAUUAAAACAAAAACUUAAAGCAUUAAAAUACCUGAGAUCAGACCAGUAUUCAAUAUUAAAACAAAUACUUAAAGCAUUAAAAUACCUGAGAUCAAAUCAGUAACAUUCUUGAAAUCCUUGAGAAAAUUGCAAACAAUUUGAACUCUCUUCCAUUCCUCUUCAGUAGGCAAAUAGAUAUAAGAAACAUCCAUUUGCUGAUAUCGUGGAAAGACCGCUUUAAACUCUAAGGCAGCUGACAACAUGAAGUAUGUAGCGUUCCACCUUGUGCAACAAUCCAAAACCAAUUUCUUGGAAGACAAUUGCAAUUGCUUUGCAAUUUCACUGAACAUGUUGACACGUCCCUCUGAAGCUGUUACAUAUUUCACACUUUCUCGCACCUUGUAAAUGAUAUCUUGAAUAGGAGUUAAGCCAUCUAACACCAAGAGGUUAAGGAUGUGCGCACAACAUCUCACAUGGAAUAUUUUUCCACCUAAGUGAAGUGUCCCAUUGAAUAAGAGAUUGUCCCUCAAUAGCCGAACAGCCACAUCAUUAUUCGCAGCAUUAUCAACGGUGAGAGUCCACACCUUCUUCUCUAUUCCCCACUCAGCCAAACACUUCUGCAGCAUGUCAGAAAUUGCAAUCCCGGUAUGUGGUGGUGGAAUGUCAUAAAAGUUCAAAGUCCUCUUCUGUAAUUGCCAAUCUGAGUCAACAUAGUGACCGGUUAUGACCAUAUACGAGAGGUUUUGAUCCGACUUCCAAAGAUCUGUAAUCAAACUCAUACGAUUCACUGACUUCAACUGCACCAUCAAUUUCUUCUUCUCCAUCUCGUAAGAAGAAAUGCAAUCCUUCUUUGCCAUAGCCCUACUAAUCUUCUGGUAAUGAGGCAUGGCAGUUUGCAUCGCCAAAUUGAACAACUCAUAUUCUGAAAAGCAAAAGGGCAACUCAUGCACAAUAAUCAUGUGCGAGAUCAUCUCCCUAAGCUUAGAAUGGUCGUACUGAAAAUUCUGCACCGAAGACACUGUUUCUUUCAUUGAUAAUGUCUUUGUAACGGUGAGAUUCUGCUGACCCUUAGAUUUCUGAAGCUUGCUAGCUGUGCAAUGCGCAAGAUGCCUCAAAAAGUGCGAUGUAACACCAGUCUUGUUGAUUGUAAGCUUUGUCUUACAAUGAAUACACUCAACUUUUUUUUGUAGAAGAAUUAGGGAUAACCACCUCUUUAAAAUCCUCCCAAACUUUGGAUGUUUUCUACCUUUUCUUAGGCUGAAAUGGAUUUUCAGCAACAUCUUCAGCUUGAGUCUGACUCGUAUCCACUUGUGGUGUACCUCCAUCCAAAGCAUCUACACUAGGAGAUACAAAUGUUGGACUAGUAGUCGACUCUUGAGCUGAUUCAGUGUUUGGAGUCAACAUUUGAUAGCUGAGACCACAAGAAAGUAACAAAAUUAAACUAGAAUACAAAUCCUUAUUUUCGGACUGAGAGCAAUAUGAAUUGUGGCUAUAUAUAUAUAAUUCUAACUGCAAUCAGCCAAUAUGAAUUGUGGCUCUUUCACUGCUACUCUAAUACUCAGCAAGUUUCACAUUCUAAAUUGAACUGUAAUAAGCCAAUAUAAAAGAGCCACAUUCUAAAUUCACAAAUCCUAAUAGCCAUAUUCACAUAAACUAACUGAGACCAUAUUCACAAAUCCUAAUAGCCAUAUAAUCUGUUUGCAUGUCUCAGAAAAUUCAGUUAAAAUAACGAAAUCUAAAAGAUAGAUAUUUCAACUGCAAUUUGCAAAUAUAGUAUCUAAUAAUUAUGACAUCUAGUAAUAACUUAAGCAACUUACGCGGUGUGGUGUGAGUCGGGGUCGGGAACGAAUGAAGGAAGCAAUGCUGUUGUUGUAAAAUGGAUGGCGGCAUUGCUUCUGUUAUCGCUGACUCGCCGAGAGAUAGGAGAAUUGUGGCUCUUUCACUGACGCGCCCGACUGAGAGAGGGAAGGCGGCGGAGCUGUUGUUGUAGAGGAGAAGGCGGCGCUGCGAACCGACGAUGUUGUCGCCGAGAGAAAAGAGAUGUGCGGUGGCUGACUUGUGAAGUUGUGGAGGAGAUGUGCGGCGUAGCGGAGCUAUUGUUUAGGGCUAGUAGUCGAGAAUUCAAAUUGAAGUCUGAAGGGUUAGGGAAAGAAUAGCCGAAUAGGAUUCUAAUUCAAUUUUGUAAACGAACCAAGCCGCUCGCGAACUAUUCGGAGCUCGGCUCGAAAAAAGCACAUUCGAAAUUCGUUCGUUUUCUUAACGAGCCGAACUCGAGCCCGAAUCCGAGCUCGAUAAAAUUAUCGAGCCGAACUCGAGCCUGUACAUGUUCGGCUCGUGAGCUCACGAAUAUGUUCGGCUCGAACCUAUUCGCGAGCCUGUUCGCGAGCUUAUUCGCGAACAGGUUAGCGAAUAGGCUCGCGAACGUAUUCGUGAAUAGGCUCACGAACAUGUUUGUGAAUAGGUUCGUGAGCCGGCUCGUGAAUAGGUUCAUUAAAUUAUUAAUUUUAUAUAUUUCAUUUAAGACGAAGCUUACAAUCAACAAGACUGGUGUUACAUCGCACUUUUUGAGGCAUCUUGCGCAUUGCACUGCUAGCAAGCUUCAGAAAUCUAAGGGUCAGCAAAAUCUCACCGUUACGAAGACAUUAUCAAUGAAAGAAACAAUGUCUUCAGUGCAGAAUUUUCAGUACGACCAUUCUAAGCUUAGGGAGAUUAUCUCACACAUGAUUAUUGUGCAUGAGUUGCCCUUUUGCUUUUCAGAAUAUGAGUUGUUCAAUUUGGCGAUGCAAACUGCCACGCCUCAUUAUCAAAAGAUUAGUAGGGUUAUGGAAAAGAAGGAUUGCAUUUCUUCUUACGAGAUGGAGAAGUAUAAAUUGAUGGUGCAGUUGAAGUCAGUGAAUCGUAUGAGUUUGAUUACAGAUCUUUGGAAGUCGGAUCAGAACCUCUCGUAUAUGGUCAUAACCGGUCACUAUGUUGAUUCAGAUUGGCAAUUACAGAAGAGGACUUUGAACUUUUAUGACAUUCCACCACCACAUACCGGGAUUGCAAUUCCUGACAUGCUGCAGAAGUGUUUGGCUGAGUGGGGAAUAGAGAAGAAGGUGUGGACUCUCACUGUUGAUAAUGCUGCGAAUAAUGAUGUGGCUGUUCGGCUAUUGAGGGACAAUCUCUUAUUCAAUGAGACACUUUCCUUAGGUGGAAAAAUAUUCCAUGUGAGAUGUUGUGCGCACAUCCUUAACCUCUUGGUGUUAGAUGACUUAACUCCUAUUCAAGAUAUCAUUUACAAGGUGCGAGAAAGUGUGAAAUAUGUAACAGCUUCAGAGGGACGUGUCAACAUGUUCAGUGAAAUUGCAAAGCAAUUGCAAUUGUCUUCCGAGAAAUUGGUUUUGGAUUGUUGCACAAGGUGGAACGCUACAUACUUCAUGUUGUCAGCUGCCUUAGAGUUUAAAGCGGUCUUUCCACGAUAUCAGCAAAGGGAUGUUUCUUAUAUCUAUUUGCCUACUGAAGAGGAAUGGAAGAGAGUUCAAAUUGUUUGCAAUUUACUCAAGGAUUUCAAAAAUGAAACUGAUUUGAUCUCAGAUAUUUUAAUGCUUUAAGUAUUUGUUUUAAUAUUGAAUACUGGUCUGAUCUCAGGUAUUUUAAUGCUUUAAGUAUUUGUUUUAUAAAGUGGUUUGAGGCUGGUUUAUUUAAUUUUUAAUUUAACUUAGCAUUUUCUGUACAUAGUUUCUUCUUUAUUUCUUCAUGUUACUGAUGUGAAUAGUUAUGAAUGACUUCUAUUCAAAAUUUAGCGUCUGUGAAUACUUAGCCUAUAUAAUUCACUUUUAUUGUAGGUUCUGAGUAUCCAACAUCCAAUCUUUUUUUACCUCAACUUAUUGAAAUCAAAUUGAAAUUGGGAGCUAAUGUUGAAGGUUCAGGUGACUUUUUCUUGCAAGAAAUGAAAGACAAAAUGAAAUUUUUUUUUUGAUAAGUAUUGGGGAUCUUGCAACAUAAUGAUUUCAAUAGCAGCUGCAUUAGAUCCUAGAAAUAAGAUGAAAUAUAUU